GCCGUCGCCGUCGCCCCCACCGCCGCCACCGCUACCGAGGCCGAGCGGAGCCGUUAGCGCCGCGCCGCAGCCUCCUGCCGCCCGCCCCGGAGCAGCCCCGGGCCCGCCCGCCCGCGUCCAGAUUUUUUAAAAAUACAAUGUCUAAUGGUUAUGAAGACCACAUGGCCGAAGACUGCAGGGGUGACAUUGGGAGAACGAAUUUGAUCGUCAACUACCUCCCUCAGAACAUGACCCAAGAUGAGCUGCGCAGCCUAUUCAGCAGCAUCGGCGAAGUGGAAUCUGUAAAACUCAUUCGGGAUAAAGUAGCAGGACACAGCUUGGGCUAUGGCUUUGUGAACUACGUGACCGCAAAGGAUGCACAGAGAGCAAUCAACACGCUGAACGGCUUGAGGCUCCAGUCAAAAACCAUUAAGGUGUCGUAUGCUCGCCCGAGCUCAGAGGUCAUCAAAGAUGCCAACUUGUACAUCAGCGGGCUCCCUCGGACCAUGACCCAGAAGGACGUAGAGGACAUGUUCUCUCGGUUUGGGCGGAUCAUCAACUCGCGAGUCCUCGUGGAUCACACCACAGGUUUGUCCAGACGGGUGGCGUUUAUCCGGUUUGACAAACGGUCGGAGGCAGAAGAGGCAAUUACCAGUUUCAAUGGUCAUAAACCCCCAGGUUCCUCUGAGCCCAUCACAGUGAAGUUUGCAGCCAACCCCAACCAGAACAAAAACGUGGCACUCCUCUCGCAGCUGUACCACUCGCCAGCGGGAUGGUUCAGAGGCCCCGUUCACCACCAGGCGCAGAUAUUCAGGCUCUUCCCCAUGGGCGUCCAUCACAUGAGCGGUCUCUCUGGCGUCAACGUGCCCGGAAACGCCUCCUCCGGCUGGUGCAUUUUCAUCUACAACCUGGGGCAGGACGCGGAUGAGGGGAUCCUCUGGCAGAUGUUUGGGCCCUUUGGCGCCGUCACCAAUGUGAAAGUGAUCCGCGACUUCAACACCAAUAAGUGCAAAGGGUUUGGCUUUGUGACCAUGACAAACUAUGAAGAAGCUGCGAUGGCCAUAGCCAGCCUGAACGGCUACUGCCUGGGGGACAAGAUCUUACAGGUUUCCUUCAAAACCAACAAGUCCCACAAAUAACUCGCUCAUGCUUUUUUUUUUUUUUUUUUUUUUUGUACGGAAUAGAUAAUUAAGAGUGAAGGAAUUGAAACUUUUCUUGUUAGUGUACAACUCAUUUUGUGCCAAUUUUCACAAGUGUUUGUCUUUGUCUGAAUGAGAAGUGAGAAGGUUUUUAUACUCUGGGAUGCAACCGACAUGUUCAAAUGUUUGAAAUCCCACAAUGUUAGACCAAUCUUAAGUUUCGAAAGUUAUUUCCUUUAAGAUAUAUAUUAAACAGAAAUCUAAGUAGAACUGCAUUGACUAACCAGUCCCUCUGGAUGGUGGUGAACCUGAAGCAUGCUUUAACCUCUAAGACUGUCUAACACGCGUUUCAUUCAAUGUCUCCACAGACUGGGUAGCAAAAAAAAAUCACCUUUUAGUUUUAGUUUUUAAUCUAAAGAUGUUAGACAGAUGCUGAGUGUGCGUUUUCUCAACUGCUUCAACAUUGUAAGCGAUGUAUGCUUUGGUUGACAGGAAGUUCCUUUUCCAGGCAGGUCCCGUUGCCACCUCCUGCUCACUCAGUCCGGGGCUCUGCCAAGUGGUCCUGGGAAUGGCGGUGGGCCCGUCCAGCGUGGGUCACCACUGGGGCCGGGGGCCGCAUGCCGGGCGGGCCACCCAGAGAAGGACACAAACUUGUUUCGUAAGCCCAGGCACCAAUGGGAAUGGACCAAAGAGUUUCAGGGAAACUCCAGUAUAUUCCAGAGUUAGAUCUAAGCUCCAGGCACGCCUGAAGAUGUGUUGCUACUCUGACGCCCCGAGUUUCUGUCCACACAUUGCAUGCACAGCGCCCCACACAUUGCAUACUGUUGUUCACGAUAAUUUCUCCCGUUUUCCAGAGCAUUUAACAUAGCUUGGAGGCGUAAGAUAGCUCUGUUUUUUAAUAACACAGAAACAUUUGAGCAUUGUAUUUCUCGCAUCCCUUCUCGUGAGCGCUUAGACCUUUUUUUAUUUUAGUCGGAUUUUGUUUUGGAAUUUUGCUUUUGUAUGAACACUCAGCAGAA